rfam:Lupinus angustifolius cultivar Tanjil chromosome LG10, whole genome shotgun sequence.
AGGUGAGAUCAAACCAACACUAAUGCAUUGGAUUCCAUAAGAACUCCACAAUUAAGCGUGUUUGGGCGAAAGUAAUAUUAGGAUGUGUGACCUCCUAGGAAGUCCUUAUGUUGCACCUC